rnacentral:rRNA from 1 species
CUGGCUCAGAACGAACGCUGGCGGCGUGCUUAACACAUGCAAGUCGGAUGCGAACGGCGCUUUCGGGCGUUGAGUAGCAUGGCAGACGGGUGAGGAGCGCGUAUCUGACUGGACUCAGGCUGGGGGAUAGUCCCUCGAAAGGGGGUUGAAUACCGCAUGUGCUCGGUGCUGUGAGGGCAUCGAGGAAAGUUGGCCUCUGCGGGCACGCUGAUGGCCUGAGACAGGGAUGCGUCCUAUUAGCUAGCUGGUGGGGUAAGGGCCUACCAGGGCGACGAUGGGUAGCUGGUCUGAGAGGAUGAUCAGCCACACUGGGACUGCGACACGGCCCAGACUCCUACGGGAGGCAGCAGUGGGGAAUUUUGCGCAAUGGGCGCAAGCCUGACGCAGCAACGCCGCGUGCAUGACGACGCCUUUCGAGGUGUAAAGUGCUGUCGACCGGGACGAAGGGGCGAGGGUGAACAGCUUUCGCGCAUGACGGUACCGGUGGAGGAAGCCCCGGCUAACUCCGUGCCAGCAGCCGCGGUAAGACGGAGGGGGCGAGCGUUGUUCGGAAUUACUGGGCGUAAAGCGCGCGUAGGCGGUGCAGCAAGUGGUGCGUGAAAGCCCUCGGCUUAACCGGGGACGGGCGUGCCAAACUGUUGGACUGGAGUGCCGGAGGGGGAGGCGGAAUUCCUGGUGGAGCGGUGAAAUUGCCGUAGAGAUCAGGAAGAACGUCGGUGGCGAAGGCGGCCUCCUGGACGGACACUGACGCUGAGGUGUGACAGCGUGGGGAGCGAACGGGAUUAGAUACCCCGGUAGUCCACGCCGUAAACGAUGGGUAC